CAGUUACCAAGCCUCUGACUGUACCUUUCUUUCUGCCUAAAACAUCCUCAACACCCCCUAUUCACUUCUGGCAAAACCCUGCACAACUGCUGGGGCUGAGCUCACAGGCCACCUCCUCGAGCCUCCCUGACCUGUCCUCUGGCGGUCUGCUGCUCUGGCUUCUUCAGUACAAGCAGGACUGUUACCCCACUGCCUCCGGACAGCAGCACGUAUCCCCAUAGUCUGCUCCCGCGCCCCCACGGGGCCUGGCUCACACUGGGUGGUGGACGCCCAAGUAAGGGGCUCUGGGUUUGCCUCUCACCCCAGAUGCUACAGGGCCAGGAAAUCCCUGCCCUGUCUUCUCUCAUGCAUGCCCCUCUGCUUUACUCCCCUGGGAAGCCGUUAGCAAAUCCCCACAGCCCCUCAGGGAUCCCCCAGAACCAGAGGCCAACAGCACAUCUCUCCUGACCUGAAAAACCUUCCUGGGCAUGUGCAGAAUCAUUCUGGAGCAAGUGGGAAGGAGGCUCAAUUUUAUCCAAUUUUCCAGAGAAGCCAGAAAUCUGGACUUGCCUGUGAAAUCCCCUCUAAGGUUCACCAAGUCUUAGGCCUUAGAGCCUCAAUGUGGGAAUGUGGCCUGCACACCUCCCAUGUGCCUGCUCCUCAUCAGGCCACCCCACCUCACCCCAAGCCCUGUCCCCUCGAAGGCAGGCUGUUACUUUCAUCUGACAGAGGGAAGUGGCUCAGGAAGUGACUUCCCACAGAUCCCGGAAGUGUGGCCCAGUGGGCUCCAGAAACCACAGGUUGGGGUAGCUUACCAUUGCCUAGGCAUCUGCUGUGAAGUUCUGUGGACAAAACGGGGUUCUAGGGUCUCCUGCAUUGUCUGGGCAAAUCCCAACCUGAUCAUCGUCUCACUGGUCCUCCCAAUGACCUAAGAGCUAGGCAGGAAUGUUUGC